UACGGAGGGUGCAAGCGUUAAUCGGAAUUACUGGGCGUAAAGCGUGCGUAGGCGGUUCGUUAAGUCUGUUGUGAAAGCCCCGGGCUCAACCUGGGAAUGGCAAUGGAUACUGGCGAGCUAGAGUGUGUCAGAGGAUGGUGGAAUUCCCGGUGUAGCGGUGAAAUGCGUAGAGAUCGGGAGGAACAUCAGUGGCGAAGGGCGGCUGCCUGGGGCCCAGUUCUGACGCUGAUGCGCCGAAAGCGUGGGGAG
rnacentral:rRNA from 1 species